rnacentral:rRNA from 1 species
UACGAAGGGGGCGAGCGUUGUUCGGAUUUACUGGGCGUAAAGGGCGCGCAGGCGGCUCAUUUUGUCAGGCGUGAAGGCCCCGGGCUUAACCUGGGAACUGCGUUUGAUACGGAUGGGCUAGAGUUCGGGAGAGGAGAGUGGAAUUCCCAGUGUAGAGGUGAAAUUCGUAGAUAUUGGGAAGAACACCAGUGGCGAAGGCGGCUUUCUGGACGGUAACUGACGCUGAGACGCGAAAGCGUGGGGAGCAAACAGG